rnacentral:rRNA from 1 species
GCUUACGGCCAUACCAGCCUGGGUACUUGGCCCGAUCUCGUCUGAUCUCGGAAGCGAAGCAGGGUCGGGCCUGGUUAGUACUUGGAUGGGAGACCGCCUGGGAAUACCAGGUGCUGUAAGCA